UACGAAGGGGGGCUAGCGUUGCUCGGAAUCACUGGGCGUAAAGGGUGCGUAGGCGGGUCUUUAAGUCAGGGGUGAAAUCCUGGAGCUCAACUCCAGAACUGCCUUUGAUACUGGGGAUCUCGAGUCCGGGAGAGGUGAGUGGAACUGCGAGUGUAGAGGUGAAAUUCGUAGAUAUUCGCAAGAACACCAGUGGCGAAGGCGGCUCACUGGCCCGGAACUGACGCUGAGGUGCGAAAGCGUGGGGGAGCAAACAGG
rnacentral:rRNA from 1 species